AUUGAACGCUGGCGGCAGGCCUAACACAUGCAAGUCGAACGAGAGGGGUACGGAUUAGUAAGGUCUGGGAAACGGCCUGAGGGAGGGGGAUAGCUACUGGAAACGGUAGCUACUACCGCAUAGCAUAGCAUGGACGCAGAUGGGAUUAGCGAGUAGGUAGGGUAACGGCUCACCUAGGCGACGAUCCCUAGCUGGUCUGAGAGGAUGACCAGCCACACUGGAACUGAGACACGGUCCAGACUCCUACGGGAGGCAGCAGUGGGGAAUAUUGCACAAUGGGCGCAAGCCUGAUGCAGCCAUGCCGCGUGUAUGAAGAAGGCCUUCGGGUUGUAAAGUACUUUCAGCGGGGAGGCGUUACCCGCAGAAGAAGCACCGGCUAACUCCGUGCCAGCAGCCGCGGUAAUAC
rnacentral:rRNA from 1 species